AGUUGCAAAUAUUGUGAUGGCAUUACAAGUAAUCUUGCCAUCCGACAUUUGUGGUAGA
rnacentral:pre_miRNA from 1 species